rnacentral:rRNA from 1 species
AUUGAACGCUGGUGGCAUGCUUUACACAUGCAAGUCGGACGAGUGGCGAACGGGUGAGUAACGCAUCGUAACGUACCGAGUAAUGGGGGAUAACUGUCCGAAAGGACAGCUAAUACCGCAUAGUAUUCGACCGGCCGAUGUCGGAUUAGCUGGUUGGCGGGGUAAAGGCCCACCACGGCGACGAGCAGUCGCGGGGCUGAGAUGAUGAUCCGCAACACUGGGACGGGGACACGGCCCAGACUCCUACGGGCGGCAGCAGUGGGGAAUUUUGGAACAUGGGCGCAAGCCUGAUCCAGCCAUGCCGCGUGUCUGAAGAAGGCCUGCGGGUUGUAAAGGACUUUUGUCAGGGAAGCGGUACCUGAAGAAUAAGCACCGGCUAACUACGUGCCAGCAGCCGCGGUAAUGC